rnacentral:rRNA from 1 species
UUAGGUAUAAAUGGAUUGGUUAUUUACCAGAGUACUACGAAUAAAACGAUUUAAAACUCAAAGGGCUUGGCGGUGCUUUAGACUUCUCAGGGGAACCUGUCUCGUAAUCGACAGUCCACGAAUCGACCUUACCUUUUUUUGUGAUCAGUAUGUAUACCGUCGUCGUCAGGUAACUUUUAAAAAUGUAGAAGUUAGCAAGAAAACUCUUGAGUUUUUACGUCAGAUCAAGGUGCAGCCUAUGAAAAGGAGAGGAUGGGUUACAAUUAAUAUUUAUAACUACGGAGGUUAACUCGAAAGAGUUUUAUGAAGGCGGACUUGAAAGUAUGGAUUAGUACAUAGAUUUUCUGAAUUUAGCUCUGAAGCG